rnacentral:lncRNA from 1 species
CGUGUGAGACAGCAUCCAUUCUCGCGAUCGUCCCGGCAGCAGCAUCCCAUGCUUCCGUACUCGUAUCAGAUCUCCCUGCAACCCGUGAAGCUUCCCAGCGGCCGUCCGGAAGAGAACGCGAUCCAACCGCAGCUGUCCACCUCCUCUUCAUUCGCCCGCGAUCAACGCCAUUUGCCUCCUCCCAGCAGUCCUCCACCUCUUCCGUGAUUUCAGCCCGCGAUCAGCCUCCUGCGAGUGAUCCAUAGCGUCCGUCCGAGCUUCUUCCCCGCGAGCAAUCUUCCGUGAUCAUCCUGCGAUCACCUCCCAGCAUCACGCGUCCGUGAACCGCGUCCAACCGCGUCCGCGUGCCAACCUCCAGCCCGAAAUCCAGCCACGGAUUGACGCCCUCCGCCUCUGCAGCACCCGUUUCUUCCUUCUGCAGCGCCCCAGCAACGAAUCCAUCUUCCACGAUCAACGUUCGAGAUCCCUCUCCUUCCGCCUGUGAAGCACCGCAGCAGCCGCUAUCACCGCCCCGGCUGUCCGCGUCCUCCUCCGUUCCAACGCUCGUGAUCACCUCGAAUGGGA